rnacentral:rRNA from 1 species
UACGGGGGGGGCUAGCGUUGUUCGGAAUUACUGGGCGUAAAGCGCACGUAGGCGGCUAUUCAAGUCAGAAGGUGAAAGCCCAGGGCCUCAACCCUGGAACUGCCUUUGAAACUAGAUAGCUAGAAUCUUGGAGAGGCGAGUGGAAUUCCGAGUGUAGAGGUGAAAUGCGUAGAGUAUCGGGAGGAACACCAGCGGCGAAGGCGGACCUUCUGGGCCUAUCCUGACGCUGAGACGCGAAGGCCAGGGUAGCGAACGGG